GAUUAAAGAGACAAUGUGUCACACCCCUAAAGCGGCAAAUCCAAAAAAGGUGAGUAAGGUAUAUAUGUAAACUGUUUUGGCACACUAUAGUAGUAUAAUCCGCCACAUUGACUUGCCAACGAAUUAGAGUAUUGGCCUAUACUAGCGUUUAAGUACUUGCUCGUUAGCGAUAUCUAAGAUUUAAUUAUAGAGUAUGUUCAAGUGAAGAAAGAAUAUGCCAUAGAUUUUUUGGCUGAACACG
rnacentral:lncRNA from 1 species